AUCAUCAGACCAUUCUGAAGAGGAGGAGUUGGCACAGUUACUUCUCCUCUCUGAGCCUCGAUCUCCCUGCCGGCAAAAUGGGGAUCCUUGUCCCAGCUCCACUCACUCUAUAGGGUUCGUUUGAGGCUCAUGGAAUGAAAAGAUCUAAAGAAGUCUGGCCAGAGGGACACUGAGAUGAGCAAUGUGGUUGGAGGAGAGGAUACUGACCCAAGAAUUCUCUGGAUAAGAAGAAGGAGGAGGGGAAGCCUGAAGUGGAUGGGUCGAGCCUCAGCUGUGGAAGAAUUGCUAAUUACAGCCACCAUAAGGAAAUAUCAAUGAUGGACGUCAAUAUUAUUGCCUCCUGCAUCCCUGCCUGUUUAUUUGGAGAUGAAAAGCGCCCUAGGGUCAUCUCUCCAGGACGAAGAUGAGUGAUGACAGAAGGGAGGAGAGCUACACAUGGAGAAAAGGGCAUCCUCCAGCUGGAUUCAUUCAUGAAACCAGGACCCAUUUCCUCUGGGCAGAGUUCUCUCCACUGAGGGCCCAGGGCUGGGGCUGAGGGCAAAGGAACCUGCACAGGGAGGAGGAACUAGUGAUCCUGCUCCCAGCCCUGGUUCACCAAGUGACUGCAUGUAUGCCUCUUUGUGCCUCAGUUAACUCAUCUGAUAAAUGGGUAUGACAAUUCCA
rnacentral:lncRNA from 10 species